GAUGAACGCUAGCGGCAGGCCUAACACAUGCAAGUCGAGGGGUAGAACACUUCGGUGUUUGAGACCGGCGCACGGGUGCGUAACGCGUAUGCAAUCUACCUUGUACAGGGGAAUAGCCCAGAGAAAUUUGGAUUAAUGCCCCAUAGUAUAUAACCUUCGCAUGUUGGUUAUAUUAAAGUUCCAACGGUACAAGAUGAGCAUGCGUCCCAUUAGUUAGUUGGUAAGGUAACGGCUUACCAAGACGAUGAUGGGUAGGGGUCCUGAGAGGGAGAUCCCCCACACUGGUACUGAGACACGGACCAGACUCCUACGGGAGGCAGCAGUGAGGAAUAUUGGUCAAUGGUCGCAAGACUGAACCAGCCAUGCCGCGUGCAGGAAGGCGGUCCUAUGGAUUGUAAACUGCUUUUUAUACAGGAAGAAACCCUCCCACGUGUGGGAGCUUGACGGUACUGUAGGAAUAAGGAUCGGCUAACUCCGUGCCAGCAGCCGCGGUAAAGUCUGUACU
rnacentral:rRNA from 1 species